GGCCAAAGAAUGCUCACUGUAUGAUUCUUA
rnacentral:piRNA from 1 species